GACGAGCCUCACAAACGUUAUUCGGAAUUACUGGGCUUAAAGGGUGCGUAGGCGGCGUAGAAAGUUGGGUGUGAAAUCCCUCAGCUUAACUGAGGAAGGGCGCCCAAAACUACUAUGCUCGAGGGAGAUAGAGGAGUGCGGAACUUAGGGUGGAGCGGUGAAAUGCGUUGAUAUCCUAGGGAACACCGGUGGCGAAAGCGGCACUCUGGAUCUCUUCUGACGCUGAGGUGCGAAAGCUAGGGUAGCAAACGGG
rnacentral:rRNA from 1 species